AGUUCUGCUAGGUCUACUAACUCCACACUACGAAAAAGUUGAAUUCAAAAAAAUAAGGGAAAGAACAGUGUGAUAAAAAGUGAUAGCAGGACCCUUACAAAGACCUGCACAACGCAUUUUUUGUGAUCAUCAACAAGCAGGACGUGCAAGCAGUGGAAUCAUUCUCUGGGCAGGAAAAAAUAUCAAGAUGGCAAUAGAGGCUGGGGGAACACAGCAAGCCCGGCAGCGACAGGAGGUGGAGAAGUCAACGUUUUGGGAGUAACCCUUCUUCAGGACCCAGCAUCUGCAGGUUUUUUAAAUCUCUAAGAUGGUGAUGGAAGCAAAUAAUGUGGAUGUCGUCUGUGGAAGCUUGAAUUCCGGAGAAAUCUGCAAUUUGUUUUCUACUUCACUCAGUCCUUUUAUAAAUCAGAUGCAAGCAUUCAUCGUGGAAUAUAGUACGAUGCUUGUUGGCCAUUUGGAUUUAGCAACGCACAACAAACACUGAGCUGUCACCAAAAUUAGCAGUGCUGCCUGUUUUGUGAAAGCUAGUUGUCUGUGAUGUUGACAAACACAAGCAGUGAGGGUCCAGUUAUGGUUGCAGCUGGUAAGAGUUCUGACAACUUCCUUGAAGUGCAGCCAUCUUUUUUUUUGAGUGAAGUUGAAUUGAGUCCUGAUCUGAAGAUCUACCAUGGAUGUGUCCUCCUGCACAAUAUUGUCUGAUUCUGAGCUGCUUCUCCUUUCUCAUUCUUCAUUACUUCCCAAUUGCCCUGCCAGAUCAUCCACAAUCUCAAUUGAAUCGUUGAAAAAAAUCUUCCAGAGCCAGCACAAAGAUGUGAAGACAGGUCUGAAUGUACAUGUUAAACAAUAAAAGUAGCUGGAGGACAAAGGCCAAAAAGUCAACCAGCAAUCUAAGACAACAUGCCACCAAUAACUAACUCAUUUGAGUGGAUGCACUGUUUGAGUAGAGCUCCCAAAGUCUCCUGUUGCCUGUUCAUGUCAAUAAAAUGUUGUUUUUGGAGGUGCCAGGAUGUACAAAAUUAAAAAUCACACAACACCAGGUUAUAGUCCAAUAGGUUUAUUUGGAAACAUUAGCUUUUGAAGCACUGCUCCUUCAU